rnacentral:rRNA from 1 species
ACAUGCUUACAACAUAGCAUUAAUGCAUCGGAUCCCAUUAGAACUCCGCAAUUAAGCAUGCUUGGGAUAGAGUAGUAUUGGGAUGGGUGAUCGCCUGGGAAGUCCUAGUGUUUUACAUGAC